UUAGAACAGCACAUGCGGCUUGGCGCUGAAGGGAUCGCGCAAAAUGCGCAAAUCGGGGCGUUCGGCGAUGGUGUAACCGGCGGAGAAAUCGCCGAACGCGACGGAAUGACUGCCCGAGGCCACAUCCGGCAUAUCCUCGGCGAUCAGCACAGGAUACCCCAUCAGCCGGGCGGGUUCCCCCGCCGCUAGGCCGUCCGACCACAGGAACCGGCCAUCGUUGUCCUUGAGCUUGCGCAGAACACCGGCGGUUUUGGAGUUCAUCACGAAGGUCGCGUUUGCGCGGUAUUCGGCGCCCAGCGCAUAGACCAGAUCGACAAUCGGGUCGCCAUCGAUAAUACCCCCGUCCGAACCCGUUGCGACAUAACCCAAAGUGUCCCAGGCCCAGGAUACAUCUGCGACGACGGAAUGGGUCAGGAACCCUGUGGGCUUGUCGAUGCCACCGCCCGAGACAAACGCCGCGGCCUCGGCGCGUGCGAAUUUCUCGGCAAUGCGCCCCGCCAGCCAGCCUUCGACAUCGAAGGCGCUGUCAUCCAGCAGGCGCUGCGAGGCCUUCGGCAAUGCGCUCAACUCGUGCAGCGGGAUCGAAAUGCGGUCGAUGGACGGCGUAUCGGUUUCGGUCACCGUGGCGGUUUCCGUGGCCCAGCCCGUCCCCACUUCGGUGUGAUCGAUCAGCACGUCGUAGGACGUCGCUUCUACAUUCACCACAUUGGCCACCGCCCGCAACGACGAGGUGGCGCGCAGAACCGACCGGAUCUGUUCCGCCGUUUGCGGAUCCACCAGAUAGCC
rnacentral:rRNA from 1 species